GCUUCUUUCCUCCCGAGUGCUUGCACGUCAAUUGGAAAGAGGUAGUGGCGGACGGGUGAGUAACACGUGGGUAACCUACCCAUCAGAGGGGGAUAACACUUGGAAACAGGUGCUAAUACCGCAGAACAGUUUAUGCCGCAUGGCAUAAGAGUGAAAGGCGCUUUCGGGUGUCGCUGAUGGAUGGACCCGCGGUGCAUUAUAUAGUUGGUGAGGUAACGGCUCACCAAGGCCACGAUGCAUAGCCGACCUGAGAGGGUGAUCGGCCACACUGGGACUGAGACACGGCCCAGACUCCUACGGGAGGCAGCAGUAGGGAAUCUUCGGCAAUGGACGAAAGUCUGACCGAGCAACGCCGCGUGAGUGAAGAAGGUUUUCGGAUCGUAAAACUCUGUUGUUAGAGAAGAACAAGGACGUUAGUAACUGAACGUCCCCUGACGGUAUCUAACCAGAAAGCCACGGCUAACUACGUGCCAGCAGCCGCGGUAAUACGUAGGUGGCAAGCGUUGUCCGGAUUUAUUGGGCGUAAAGCGAGCGCAGGCGGUUUCUUAAGUCUGAUGUGAAAGCCCCCGGCUCAACCGGGGAGGGUCAUUGGAAACUGGGAGACUUGAGUGCAGAAGAGGAGAGUGGAAUUCCAUGUGUAGCGGUGAAAUGCGUAGAUAUA
rnacentral:rRNA from 1 species